rnacentral:rRNA from 1 species
UACGUAGGGGCAAGCGUUGUCCGGAUUUAUUGGGCGUAAAGAGCGUGUAGGCGGCCAGACAGGUCAGCUGUGAAAACUCGAGGCUCAACCUCGAGACGUCGGUUGAAACCGUCUGGCUAGAGUCCGGAAGAGGAGAGUGGAAUUCCCGGUGUAGCGGUGAAAUGCGCAGAUAUCGGGAAGAACACCCAUGGCGAAGGCAGCUCUCUGGGACGGUACUGACGCUGAGACGCGAAAGCGUGGGGAGCAAACAGG